UCAAGAGCAAGGUAACUCAACCGACUGAGCCACCCAGGUGCCCCAACAAUUAUUAUUUUUUAAAAGCUAAUUUGUUAAGGAAAGUGUAGUAUGUGAUUGUUUUAAUUAGUGAAUCUUUGAUUAUUAGUGAGUUAAACAUUUUUGCACUGUUUAUCAGGUUUGGCUUUCAUUUUUUAUCUAACCCAAAUUGUUUGUUUUGUUUUAGGUCUCUUCUGGUUAAAAUGUCUAUGAUUUUAUCUGCGUCAGUCAUUCGUGUCAGAGAUGGGCUGCCACUUUCUGCUUCUACUGACUAUGAGCAAGGCACAGGCGUGCAGGAGUGCAGAAAGUAUUUUAAAAUGCUCUCGAAGAAACUUGCUCAGCUUCCUGAUAGAUGUACACUGAAAACUGGACAUUAUAACAUCAAUUUUAUUAGCUCACUG